CCCUGUUGGGGGCUUCCUGGAGCAAUGGAGAAGACCGAGUUGGGAAGUCUGAAUAGAUGUAACCGGCUUGAAGGAGCCCGGCUGGGAAGCAGAUGUAUUUCCCACAUGCAAGGAGCAUGUUCAGUUUCCCAGGUCUCACCAAGCGCAAGCACUUUCUGUUGCCUUCUCUUGGCCCUAAGGAGAUGUGUGCAUGAAAACAUACCAACAUUCUUGUUGCCACACGACUCCUCAGAGGUGAGCUUUCCUCCUGCCCUGCAGGAUUCUUGGGUGUUUGAUGUCCCAGAGCAGAGUGAAUUUAUUACUUCUCAUUGGUGAGGUGCUAGUUUGUGGACAUAGUGUUUUUUUAUCGUGACAGCAUCCAGAGGAUCCAAUAGGAGACCAAAGUCCCACUGUUCUGAGUGCAGAGUAGACUCUUGGUUUUGCAGUGAAGAAAUUCCUUUGCAAGAAUCUUCUCAUUCACCAAGACCCAUAAGCAAGGAAGAAAACCCUAAGAAGAAAACAGUUGAAAGCAUCUCCUGCUCUUGUCCAGUGGGAGGGCAAUAAGGAAAAAAAAGGUUUAAUAUUUUACUUCAGAUUGAAUCUGAGUGGGGGAGAUCUGUGCUAAGAAGGAUUACGUUUUGCAUUACUUGUAAAGCUUAAGAUAAACUGUGAGAUGCAGUUUACCAAGCCAGCAAAGAGAAUACUCCUGACCAUGACUCACAAGCAGCCCGAUCAUAGCACAGCUGGUUUCAGUUCAUCACGAGAAGCUGCGCAAAACACAUCCAUAAAUAUUACUCAGUCUAUUCAUCUCAGAUCUGUUUACCUCUUAGACGGCAAUUCAUUUAUUACAUUUUCUUGUGGGGAAAAUGGGGGAAGUUUAAUUUAGGUUUUUAGUAGGAUAGUACCAUCUCAUCCAUUGAAAUGACAGAGUUUGAACCAAGAAAUGAAGACAGGCAUGAUACUAUUUGAACUGGAGGGGUAACCCCACUAGCUGUCAGCUAGUACAGAUGCUAGAAUACUAUAAGACUGUUGUCUUCCUAGAUUACUUGCUAGAGUGAGAUUUUAAAGUUGUACUCCCAAAGUUCAAGGAUUUCCAAUUAAAAUGGCCUAAUUUGCUUUUUACAGGCAGCGAUGUUCCGGCAAAUAAUGGCGUGCGUUAAAAUACAGGUUGUGCUCUUGUGCACCUUCCUUCCUGUAGCCAAGCUGUCCACCAGACUCCCAAUUUGGAAUUCAGUGCCACCAACCAAAUGUGAGUGUUUCGCUUUUUCCAUUGCAGUUUUCAUCCUUCUCUUUAAGAAAUUCCUGGAGGAAAAUUUGA
rnacentral:lncRNA from 1 species